CCUACGGGGGGCAGCAGUGAGGAAUAUUGGUCAAUGGGAGAGAUCCUGAACCAGCCAAGCCGCGUGAGGGAAGACGGCCCUAUGGGUUGUAAACCUCUUUUGUCGGAGAACAAAACCCGGGACGUGUCCCGGACUGCGUGUAUCCGAAGAAAAAGCAUCGGCUAACUCCGUGCCAGCAGCCGCGGUAAUACGGAGGAUGCGAGCGUUAUCCGGAUUUAUUGGGUUUAAAGGGUGCGUAGGCGGUCCGUUAAGUCAGCGGUAAAAUGCCGGGGCUCAACCCCGGCCAGCCGUUGAAACUGGCAGACUUGAGUUGGCGAGAAGUACGCGGAAUGCGCGGUGUAGCGGUGAAAUGCAUAGAUAUCGCGCAGAACUCCGAUUGCGAAGGCAGCGUGCCGGCGCCAGACUGACGCUGAGGCACGAAAGUGUGGGGAUCGAACAGGAUUAGAUACCCUGGUAGUC
rnacentral:rRNA from 1 species